CAUAUCAAUAAGCGGAGGAAAAGAAACUAACAAGGAUUCCCCUAGUAACUGCGAGUGAAGCGGGAAAAGCUCAAAUUUAAAAUCUGGUGGCUUCGCCAUCCGAGUUGUAAUCUGGAGAAGCGUUUUCUGUGUUGGACCGUGUACAAGUCUCUUGGAAUAGAGCGUCAUAGAGGGUGAGAAUCCCGUCUUUGACACGGACUGCCAAUGCUUUGUGAUACGCUCUCGAAGAGUCGAGUUGUUUGGGAAUGCAGCUCUAAAUGGGUGGUAAAUUCCAUCUAAAGCUAAAUAUUGGCGAGAGACCGAUAGCGAACAAGUACCGUGAGGGAAAGAUGAAAAGCACUUUGGAAAGAGAGUUAAACAGUACGUGAAAUUGUUGAAAGGGAAACGCUUGAAGUCAGUCGUGUCUUGUGAGACUCAGCCUUGCUUUUGCUUGGUGUACUUCUUACUCGACAGGCCAACAUCAAUUUUGGUCGGUGGAUAAAGGCUUGAGGAAUGUGGCAUCUUCGGGUGUGUUAUAGCCUCUUGUUGUAUGCAUCGGCUGGGAUUGAGGACCGCAUCUUAGGAUGUUGGCAUAAUGGCUUUAAGCGACCCGUCUUGAAACACGGACCAAGGAGUCUAACAUGCCUGCGAGUGUUAGGGUGGAAAACCCUUGCGCGUAAUGAAAGUGAAAAUUGGGACCUCUGUCAUGGAGGGCACCGAUGCCCGGCCUUGAGCUUCUGUGACGGUGCCGCGGUAGAGCAUGUAUGUUGGGACCCGAAAGAUGGUGAACUAUGCCUGAAUAGGGUGAAGCCAGAGGAAACUCUGGUGGAGGCUCGUAGCGAUUCUGACGUGCAAAUCGAUCGUCAAAUUUGGGUAUAGGGGCGAAAGACUAAUCGAACCAUCUAGUAGCUGGUUCC
rnacentral:rRNA from 1 species